rnacentral:lncRNA from 1 species
UAGAGACAUUUUGCACCUCUUAUUUUGCAAUUCCGUUAUGGUUAUCGUUAUACUACGUCUGCGCAGUAGCGAAUAUAUGAUCCGUUAUUGUUAUUAAACAUAAGGGAUUCCGUAAUUUACGGAGGUUUAACGUAGUGCUUAUCGUUAUCGUUAUAGUAAUGGUUAAAUUGCUUUGUUGCCAGAAUGUAAAAAAAUCAGUAAAAUUACAUUUACAUAGAUUCUAAUUUUGAUGUCCUAUAAAUUAAAAUAUCAAAAACUGUUCAAGUAUAUGCUUAAAUUUACAAAAGCAAAAAGAAAUAAGUAGAAAUCGCAAUAUUUAAAUGUAAUAAAUGAACCUACUAUUUUUUAAUUUUUAGUCCUUCAUAAAAUAUAUAUACAAUAUGGCAUUCUUGCUUUUUACCAUAUCCCUACCUAACCCAACAUUUUAAGUUAGUUUUGAUGUCUUGUUUAUGUUCAUCUAGUGGAUAAUUUUUAUUUUAUACAGCCUCUGUUGAUACCUUUUUAUAUUUUUAAAUUUAAUAUGGAUGUUAACAGUAGUAAAGUACCUGCUAAAUGUAAAUAAUGACAUAUUUUACUGACAGAUUUUACUCCAGAAGAACCCAAUCAACAACCUGUUGACAUCAAUAGUACUCAAACACAAGAACAUUCAAAAGUUUUAGGACCUAAAAAAACGAAGAAAAGAAAAAUACAUGUUCAAAGACAAGGGAUCAAUUAUCUCGAAAAAUAUGAUCAACAACAAAAAGUGCUUAAAGAAAUAGAGAAUAAAUUGGAAGAAAGAAGAAUUGCACUGGAAGAAAGGAAAUGUGCCCUGGAAGAAAGAAGACUUGUUAUACAGGAAACAAAGUUGGAGUUGGACAUUGAGAAAGAAAAAAAUAAAUUAACUUUAGACAAGGAAAAACAAAUGUUAGAAAUUGAAGAAAAAAAAUGUUUACUUGAUAGCAUCAAAAAACAAAAUGAUCUCUUGACAGUCCUUAUAACUAAAAUGAUAAAUUAAUGUCAUUUUCUUAGCUAUUUCAAAUAUAUAUUAUCUUACAUAUGAAACCCCACAUAGUGCCUGAUAGUUAAGUCAUCAUCAUCAUCAUUAUCUUUGCCUUUAUCCCUAUAUGGGGUAGGCUUCUCUAAUUACCUUUCUCCAUAAGAUUCUGUCAUUAGACAUAUCAAUAUUAAUUCCAUUUACCAGCAUAUCUUGUCUAACCAUCUACAACCACAUCUUUUUUGGUCUUCAUCUUCUUCCCAGGAUCUGCAGUUCAGUGAUUCUCUGUAUUGGAUGGUCGACGCUGAACGUGCCCUAACCAUCUUAAACUAUGCUCUCUCAUUUUGGCAUCAAUUGGUGCCACACCCACACUUCCUCUUAUAUACCUAUUUUUAAUUAUAUCUUUUCUUGUCACUCCACUCAUCCAUCUAAGCAUCCUCAUUUCAGCUACAUGCAUUCGUUGUUCUUCCUUCUUUUUAAUUGCCCAACAUUCAGUCCCGUACAUCAUAGCCGGUCUUAUUGCAGUUUUAUAGAAUUUUACUUUAAGUUUCAUCGGAAACAUCUAUCACACAACAUGCUACUUGCUUCCUUCCAUUUCAUCCAUCCUGCCCGAACUCUACUAACCGCAUCUUCCUAUAAUUCCCCAUUACUUUGUAGUACUGACCCUAGAUAUUUAAAAUCAGACUGAAUUUAUCAGUCUCUCCUACACCUAUCCUAACACUAGUCGUUACUCCAUCAUACAUAUCUCUCUUACAAUCUUUACAUACUCACCAGGAACUCCUUUCUUAUUAAGUGCCCACCACAGAACCUCUCGGGGAACCCUAUCAUAUACUUUCUCAAGAUCAAUAAAUACCAUGUGAGCAUUUGUUUCGAUAUUUCACUAAUUUUCUUGAUAUUCCCAUUUCUAACAUUGGUAGCCAUAGUUUGCUUCUUUUUAUGGAAUUAUAUGCUUGCUGGAAAUCUACGAAAAUUUGGUGUACAUCUUGAGUGAAUUCCCAGUUUUUUUUUAUAAUAUUUGUCUGAUUGUAAAUAUUUGAUCUAUCGUUGACCUUCCAGAACGAAAGCCACAUUGGUAGUCGCCUAGAAUAUCUUCCGAACACAGAGUGAGUCUCUUUAGCAAGAUAAUUGAUAGAAUUUUAUAUGCUGUGCUAAUAAGCGAUAUGCCUCUAUAGUUUCAAAAUUGUUCUUUAUUUCCUGUCUUAUGUAUGGGUAUUAUAACGCUUCCAUUCCAUACCCAUGCAUUUUCUGUUGUUCCCAUACUCUCUGACAUGACAUUAUUCAAAGAGAGAGUAUGUUUUUGAUUUUUCCUUGCAUAAGUUCAAACUGAUUUUCAGAUAUUUCAGUUUCUUCCCAUAUUCUUUUAUCACUCACUCUCCCAUAUUUUCAUAGUAUGGCUAAGUAGUUUAAUGGCCCUGUAAUUUGUACAUUGCUGGAUGUCUCCUUUAUUUUUGUAUACUGGUACUAAGGUACUGCAUCUCCACUCAUCUGGCAUUUGUCCCUCUUCCAUAAUUAUCAGUGCCUGAUAGUUAAGUAUUCCUAUUAAGGUGUUACCUAGGUCUGGUGGUUAAAAAAAGUGACUUUUUAAAAAAAUUACAUCUUGAAAACUAAAAAUUGCAUUUAUUUAUAAUUGGAACAUGUAAAAGUACAGUACUUAAGGUACUCUCAAAAAAAAUUUCAGCCAAAAUAUUCAUUUUUGUAGAGUUGACUGCAAUUUUUCGACAACAGCCCUUUUUUUGCGGUGGGCAGCAUAACUAAGUCCAGUCUCAUCUGAAAUCAAAAAGUUUCUUGUAAGCAGUUUAUACCUCUGGCUAGUGAUUGAACGAAGGAAUUUAAAAAGAAAUGAAAUUACAAGAUUUUACAUAAGUUUAAACACAUUUUCGACCCCAAUAUUUCUCAUUUUUUCAAAAAUGACCAUUUUUAAACAAGUUUUUUUUUUCAUAAAACAAAAACGACUUCACCUAAUAAAAAUUCCUUUGUUCAUUCACUAGUCAGAGGUAUAAACUGCAAGAAAAUUUUUGAUUUCAGAUGAGACUGGACUUAGUUAUGCUGCCCACCGCAAAAAACGGGCUGUUGUCGAAAAAUUGCAGUCAACUCUACAAAAAUGUACAUUUUUGGAUGAAAAUUUUUUUUGAGAGUACCUUAAGUACUAUACUAUUACACGUUACAAUUAUAAAUAAAAAUAAUUUUUAGUUUUUGAGAUGUAAUUUUUUUAAAAAGUCACUUUUUUUACCCGCAAGACCUAUGUAACCCCUUAAUUUAAAUACCAUUUUAUGAUACAAUGUUUUUUUUUGUUAAUCAAAAGUUCUAGUUCCUAAGACUUUACUUUGUUUUUGUUAGUGUUAAAUAGAUAAAAUAAAUAAUACACAAGUCCAUGUAAAUAAACAUUUAUUAAAACUAA